rnacentral:misc_RNA from 1 species
CGCACAUUGCGCCCUUUGGUAUUCCGAAGGGCAUGCCUGUUCGAGCGUCAUUAUCACCCCUCAAGCCCCGUGCUUGGUGUUGGACGGCCGGUCGAGGCUCACGCCCGACCCCUCCCAAAGAUAACGACGGCGGCCUGUGGUUCCCCCGGUACACUGAGCUUCUCACCGAGCACGUACCGGACAAGGGCGCCCAGGACCCGGUCUUCUCCUCUCACGAGGAAAUUUUUUCAAGGUUGACCUCGGAUCAGGUAGGAAUACGCGCUGAACUUAA